GCACAACCCAGUAUGAGCCACACAGAGCCGGUGGCUGACUCUUCCAGUGUGCUUCCUAGGAUUGCAACUACCCUCCGGAGGCCCACAGAGAGGGGAGGCUGCUCAGUGAGUCAGAAUCAGAACAAAUGAUGUCAUCAGGCAAUGGUAUCAUCAGGCAUACCUUGGACAUACUUUGGGUUGAGUUCCAGACCACCAAAAUAAAGUGAAUAUCCGAAUAAAUCAGUGUUUCCUCACCCUCGAAUGGAAGGUACUCACCUAGGAAUCAGAAAAUCCAUCUUUCGUUUGUCCUGGAAGCUUCUCUGUCAACACAAAUGUUUCUGUGAGUUGUUUAUGUCCUGUUGACU